UUCAGGCUUUUUCGGAGCACGCCGCCGCUAUACGACGCCGAUAAAUCGCACGCUGAGCGAAAACCAGUGGAAAACUAGCGAUCAGAAAAACCUGCUGUAUAAAGUUUUGCAGGAAGACUGCUAGAGCGGAGCUGCCAUUUCCUGAUAGUUUCUCUGCAUGGCCCUGUAGCGCUUUGCUGAUUUGGCCUGUACCCGCUGACACACAACUCAAGACCAAUGGAUGCAAGCGUAGAAGGUUUAGUUGUGCUGAUUACGCUUUUGAUUUUCUCAGCCUCUGAGUGGUCAAUCAUGUCGAGUUUGGGUUUGUUUGAACGCUAGAAGUAUCUACAAUUGGUCGAAGUGGGUGUCAAUCAAGUUAGACUGCCAGAUAAAAUUUAGGAGGCGGGUUGUUCAGCAUAGCCAAAGCAGAUUAGCGUUUUUUAGAUGGUGUCUCAGUUCAGUUUAUGGCUAAUUACUAAAUACCAGAAAGGUGGGAUAUCAAAACACUUGCAUUUUGAAGAGGACAUUGUGACUAAAUAUGGAACUUUGCAUUUGGUUUCUUCAGUAAAGCUGAUGGACUUUAUACCGAUGGAAAUGUGCAUGAUUUACAAAACCGCAAGCGAAGUGGAUUUUCGUCUAUGUAGGUAUUGUAAGAACAUAACCAAGGCAGUCAUCCUCCAUGGCCUUCUUAGUGUGCCACCUGGAACCAACCUGUACAGCUGCUCUGCCCUCAUGGUCUGUACUGCCCCUGACCAUACGGAUCUCUACAUGGAUCCUGGUUCUCUGCAAGGUCUAUUCACUGAGUUACGUGAUGACAAUCCAGUGAAUAUAAACAGGACUGUAAUUCUAUUAUGCAAGGAGCAAAGAGUGAGACUCGAGCCGGCGAGGCUGACCCUGGAGAAGCCGUGCAAGCGUGGCCACUCAUUUUAAAGUUGUGUGUUCCCAGUUGUCUGUCUCCAGUUUCCAAAUUGGACAGUGGUGGUGGCAUCCCUCAUCCUGAACUCGCUAACAUACCUGGCACAUUAUGGGCUACAUAAGGUUGAAGCAUGACAAGUAACAUGUACACUGUAUUAAGCUAAAGUGAAGUAUAGUCAUCCUGUGUCCUGUAAAACAAUACCUUCUGUCCUCAGAAAAGGAUGAAGGGACAUGCCCAAUUAUUCUAGCAUUAUUACAGCAAGCUGUGAUAACAACUGUGAUAAGUUCUGCAAUACAACACACCCAGUAACCAAUGUUUAAGGCUGGAAGAGGACGGCAUUUUACACAAAAUUUGCAAAAUCAACGAACUAGUAAUCCCAGUAACUCCAUUAGUGCCGGAUGUCCCUACUGUAACCUCUUCCAUUCCACAUGAUGAUUAUUAUUUCUCUGUUGUCCUGUGUUCAGCUCUUUUUCCAAUGUGCCUGCAUGAGAGCUCUCAAGGCCGUUACUCCCCUUAACAUUCCAAGAUCAGUAAUACACCUGGGUGCAUCUCCCUCAGGGGCUGCAGACUCCCUGCGGUCUACUCCUCUGUGGUCAGAGACUCCCUCGCACGCUCCCAAGGCCGACAGGACAUGAUUGGGCUCAUCCUCCGCCCCAUAAAGCACAGCAAAUGUUAAGCUUCCUGGACGUUAUCAAGUAUGGUCUUCAGUGGAUCACUGAUUGUUCUCUUCAUGACAAAAUCCUGAGCGCUGGGUGUUCUAAGGAAAAACUGACACUGAAUGGACUUAUGCUCUGCACCUGUACUAUGGCUGGCAAACUACAACAAAGCCUUUCUCUUAUAUGUGACUGAGACAGGGGGUGCCGCUGCGGGGGUCCCGGCUCAGGAGUAUGGGGGCGCUUGCAGGUCUUUAGUUUUAUUUAUCGAAAACAUUGGAUUUGGUGGCACAAGGAUUGCCAGCACAUUUGCGUGCCAUGGCUCGAGCUGCUCUCUUAGUGCAGAUCACUGGGAAAAUAGCUCUCACACAUUGAUCUUACAUUCAUCACACCAGGUCACUUCUAUUUUGAAUUAGAUCCACAUGCAACACAUGACAGCUCAUCAAAGAACAGGAUAUGAAGUUAUUCUUUGUGCCACCCAAAAUUAAAAUAUUAAACCUAUUAGUGUGUCUAAUACACCAACUGUAGUGUUGUAUUCCCUAAUGAAUUCUGUGGAGCCAGUCACUGAGAACACUCACAAUAGCCUAGCCGAAAUUCAUAUUUCCUCGAGCCGAAGUUUGAACUUUUUAGACGUUCCAUCUGGAAGAUUUUGUGAGCACCCUGCUCUGCCCAAUUAAAAGCUAUCACUACUAUGAAAUUUAUGCUCAAAACAAUGUCAGAAAGGGAAAAUCAGUAUCGAUAGGGCUCAUAUCAAUGCCAGAAGGGCCGUUUAAGCACUUGGUGAUAGACAGGUUUAGCAGAUGGAGGGAGGCAAUGCCAUCAGCAGACUAAACUGCUGGAACAGUGAUUCAAUUUUUAACCAGAGAGGUAAUUCCUAGAGAUGGCAUACCAUCUCAGAUUAGCUCUGACAAUGGCUCAGCGUUCGUUUAAAAAAAAAAGUGUUGCAGUAACUGUGAAUAAAUUAAAAUUUUACUGUGUUUAUCACCCUCAGUCACAGGGAAUAGUGGAAAUGGUAAGUGGUACCUUUAAGGCUAAGCUUAACGCAAUUUGUGUUGACUCUGAACUCUUUUCGGUAGAUGCUCUACCUCUUGCACUAAUGACCUAUUGCAUGCAGACUAACAGAAAUAUGCAUCCAACACCGCAUGAAAUGCUUACAGGUCGACCCAUGUCUGUGUCAUAUCUGAGAGGUCCUUAUGAAGAACUGCCACUGAAGUAAUUACAGAUGGAACUAAGAGCAUAUAUGCGAUAACUAACUGCUAAGUAUGAAGCUAUCUAUUCACAGGACCAGAGCUGAGGACUGAGAGAGGAGACAGAAGUUCCUUCUCCUGUGACUCCUGGAGAACAGGUGUACCUAGGGGUGUUCCAGCCCAGAAGGGAAAGGCCGUACAAAGUGAGCACCUAGAUUAAGACCUAGGAGACAUCUGAUCGAAGGGGACGAUCCAGUGGUUGACAUUGCAGGAGAAAGAACAAGACAAGAAGUGAGAGAGGGUCUAAAUGAAGAUAUGGGAGGAUGGCAAAGAAGGAGGUCUGUCAGGAGUCGUACCAACAGAGCAGGAGGAAAGAAGGGCUCCUGCUGUUGAGAGUGGUUCUGACGAGCCUGAUACACCUGCUGAAGGAGAAAGAGGCCCAAGCAGAUGUCCCUUCCAGGACAACUUUUCCAUAAUUGACUUUUCAGCCCUUGACUAGUCUCCAAAACAGUACUGAACUAGAAUUGAAUGAGACAAUCAGUGAGCCAGAUUGGAUCUCUGAUCGGCUGCAACAGGAUGGAACAGAUUCCAGUUCCUCAAGUGAGGACGAAGAAGUAUGAUGAACCAUGCCCUGGGUGUAAGUACUAGCUUGACCUCUCCCCAAGGGUGGGCCCCCUGCGAUGUGCAAAGUAUCUGGGUCGAAGACAAACAUUGUUGAUGCAUCCUCUGAGAAAGGAUGUGAUGGAGUUUUUAUUUUUUGCUUUUUCUAUUUUUUAAUUUUUAUAUUUUCUAUUACUAUAUAAUCAAGUGUGAUUAAGAGACAGGGUGAUCACUGUUAUGAUUAAUCAAACUGAGAAAACUGUUUUGUAUUCAUGUUUAUUAGUCUAUACUUGUAUCAGCUAUAUGUGCCUAAUCAACUGUGUAUUCUACAUAACGAUGACAACCACGGGCAAGUGCAGAACCAAACGCAUGCUCAUGCUUACAAACACUGUUUUGAUUUUUGUGGUUAGGGAAAGGGAGACAGAAUCUUUUACUCCUUUCUAGCCAAUGGGAGUGGAGAUGUUUGGUUCUGAUCUCCAGAGAGUGGUUUCAGGAUUUGGUCAUUGGUAGAUGGCUGACGUGGUCAUACAUUGAUCACUAGUUAGUGUAAAUGAAGGGACUGGAUUGUGAGAUUACUCUCACUAGCUAGGUGGGGCUUAGUAAGCCCCAGAGUGGGAGAAUAUAUGGAAAAUAUCUAUGAAGUGCAAACAAUAUGUGUAACUAACAUUUGGAUAUGUUAAUGAAGUGAAGUCAAUAUGUAACCAACAUUUAGAAUUAUUAUUUGAGCAUAAUUGUAUAAUCAAUAUUGGUUAAAUGAAUGAAUGAAUGCCUUUUAUUGUCACUAUACAUAUGUACAAUGAAAUUAAGAGCCACUCCUUUUUGUUCCGUGCAAACAUAUACAUUCAAGCAAACAUAUACAUGUACAUAUACAUAAAAAAAACAUAAUCUAUAUGUAUAAUCAACAGUUAGAAGCAUAAUCUAAAUCCAUAGAACAAUGUUUGAUCAAGUUAUAUUCUGAGUGGAUUUGAGAUGAAUGAACUGUGUUUCAGUGUAUUGUUCUUCUGUAUUAGCUGGCACCUGUCUCCACAGCAAUAAAAAUUGGCAGUAGA